GCCGCGAGGAAGCGUUGUGUUUCCGCUCUGUGGCCGCCGCCGCCCGGCCAAGGCGCUCAGUACGCUGCUGCUGUUGAUGAUGGUGAGAGUGACGCCAUUCGAGGGAGACAGAUCUUCUGUCCCAUUAUGGCUGGGGUGGUACACUGUCUGUCCCUGGGGGCCCCCUGAACCUGCGUGCUCUUGGAAGCCAGCACGGGCGGGUUGAAGAAGAGGCCCGAGAAGUCCUUGGGCUCCGGGGUUUUCUGGCUGUGACCAUGGGCAGUUUGAGCGGGAGUUGGCUACGGUGACUGUGGGACCUUCACGCGGAGUGUGACUGGUGACGACUCAGGAUUCAGUCGCCGGGACCGGAGGGAUCCAAGCUCCGGGAUCAUUGGGCAGCCACGGAUCCGCGGGAUGGCGACCUCAACCUGGCGUGCGGGGAGCCGGCGGGCCGGAAGACCUCCGUAGCCCGUGAAGGACGGCGGGGGCCGUCGUGCUGGGUCCAGAGCAAUGGUGGAGCCGACGGGUGGGUGGUACUGGGGGUCAAGUGGGUGCGGCAGAGGUGAGAGAGAAAGUAACCCGUUGCAGGCCAGAGCCAGGUGUUGUGACUGGCCCUACCGGGUGAGGGAGCUGGAGACAUACCAAAGGUAGGGAGGAAGUCGCCUCAGGCAGUGGGUAAGGGAGGGCUCUGGGCAUUGGAUCCAGAGCAACGGUGUCAUGGUGGUGUAUGUCGGGGAGUUGGGGGUGGGAGGGUAGAAGGGGAGGGAAGCCGGUAUAGGAGUUUCCCUUGGGGAGGUGGUUCAGGAAGAGAAAGCAGGGUCCAAGCAGGGUCCAAGCAGGCCUUGGUGGGCCAACAGCUGGACCGGCAACCCUGGGGAAGGCAGUAGCAUACUCACUCAGCCACACAAAGAGUGGGCUGGGGAAAGUGGCAAGUCAAACUGGGGCCAAUUUCUCCCCAAAACCAGCUUCGCACUUCCCGGGGAAGCGGUGGGUGGCUUGGGGAUCAGAGCCGAUAUUGAGUUUCAAAUGAGGAAGGUGAGAGGGCAGCAGGUGGGAGAUUUUUCCCAGAGAAUUAGGAAGGUCCAGCCUCCUCAGGAGCCUGGCAGGAACUGGUUCUCCCUGAAGCCUGCGGUGCCUCAAAUCCUCAGAGCAUGCAGGAGGUUGCACAGGGUGGGGAGGGACUUGGGCUCGGCCGUGGCCCCCGCCGUGCCGAGCCAAGUCCCGGGGGGUGGGCGGAAGAAAAGGAGGGAAAAGGACCGGGGACUGCCAGGCUUUACACUUGAGACCCAUUGGGCUCUUUAGGCCUAGGGGAGUGGUAGCUCCUCUCCCCUCUAAGGUCACUGCUUUGACUUCCCACCCCUCCUAUUGUCCCCUGUUUUUCCUCGGCUGUUGCGGGAAAUGACUUGCCAGAGGGCAACAAUCAAUCAGUCAUUCAGUGGUAUUACUGAGCGCUUAGGGUGUGCCAAAUACUGUACAGACCACUUGGGAGGGGGUACAGCAGAGUUGGUGGAAAGGUUCCCUGUCGUCAACGAGCUUGUGGUCUAGGUGGGGAGACUCCCGCUGAUAUAAAGAAAUGGAUUAUGGGUAUGUAUGUCCUAAGAGCCUUGGGGCUAAGGGUGGAGUGACUUCCAAGUGCCCAAAGGUACAGAUCGAAAUGCGUAGGCGGCGAAGGAGGAGGGGACAA